UACAGAGGUCUCAAGCGUUGUUCGGAUUCAUUGGGCGUAAAGGGUGCGUAGGUGGCGCCGUAAGUCGGGUGUGAAAUUUCGGAGCUUAACUCCGAAACUGCAUUCGAUACUGCGGUGCUUGAGGACUGGAGAGGAGACUGGAAUUCAUGGUGUAGCAGUGAAAUGCGUAGAUAUCGGGAGGAACACCUGAGGCGAAGGCGGGCUACUGGGCCGAUACUGACGCUGAGACGCGAAAGCGUGGGGAGCAAACAGG
rnacentral:rRNA from 1 species